rnacentral:rRNA from 1 species
AGCUCCAGUAGCGUAUAUUAAAGUUGUUGCAGUUAAAAAGCUCGUAGUUGGAUUUCUGGUUUAGCAUGUCUAGUCUGCGUGCGUCUUGCGUAUGUGUGACUCAUUCUGUGCUUUCCAUCCUUCUAGGCCUGUGUCUACUCUUCAAUGAGAAGGACACGGAGUUUAGAACUUUUACUUUGAAAAAAUUAGAGUGUUUAAAGCAGGCUUUGCCGUGAAUACAUUAGCAUGGAAUAAUAAUUUAGGACUCUUCUCCUAGUUUAUUGGUUCUCGGAAUAGAGUAAUGAUUGAUAGGGAUAGUUGGGGGUGCUAGUAUUGAUUGGCCAGAGGUGAAAUUCUUGGAUUCAAUCAAGACUAACUUAUGCGAAAGCAUUCACCAAGGAUGUCUUCUUUAAUCAAGAAC